rnacentral:rRNA from 1 species
UGGGGAAUUUUGGACAAUGGGCGAAAGCCUGAUCCAGCAAUGCCGCGUGUGCGAAGAAGGCCUUCGGGUUGUAAAGCACUUUUGUCCGGAAAGAAAUCCGCCUGGCCAAUACCCGGGCGGGAUGACGGUACCGGAAGAAGAAGCCCCGGCUAACUUCGUGCCAGCAGCCGCGGUAAUACGAAGGGGGCUAGCGUUGCUCGGAAUUACUGGGCGUAAAGCGCACGUAGGCGGCUUGUUAAGUCGGGGGUGAAAUCCCGGAGCUCAACUCCGGAACUGCCUUCGAUACUGGCAAGCUCGAGUCCGGGAGAGGUGAGUGGAACUGCGAGUGUAGAGGUGAAAUUCGUAGAUAUUCGCAAGAACACCAGUGGCGAAGGCGGCUCACUGGCCCGGUACUGACGCUGAGGUGCGAAAGCGUGGGGAGCAAACA